AGGAAUAUUGGUCAAUGGACGCGAGUCUGAACCAGCCAAGUAGCGUGAAGGAUGACUGCCCUAUGGGUUGUAAACUUCUUUUAUACGGGAAUAAAGUGGAGUAUGCGUACUCCUUUGUAUGUACCGUAUGAAUAAGGAUCGGCUAACUCCGUGCCAGCAGCCGCGGUAAUACGGAGGAUGCGAGCGUUAUCCGGAUUUAUUGGGUUUAAAGGGAGCGUAGACGGGUCGUUAAGUCAGCUGUGAAAGUUUGAGGCUCAACCUUAAAAUUGCAGUUGAUACUGGCGUCCUUGAGUACGGUUGAGGCAGGCGGAAUUCGUGGUGUAGCGGUGAAAUGCUUAGAUAUCACGAAGAACCCCGAUUGCGAAGGCAGCCUGCUAAACCGCCACUGACGUUGAGGCUCGAAAGUGUGGGUAUCAAACAGGAUUAGAUACCCUGGUAGUCCACACGGUAAACGAUGGAUACUCGCUGUUGGCGAUAGACUGUCAGCGGCUUAGCGAAAGCGUUAAGUAUCCCACCUGGGGAGUACGCCGGCAACGGUGAAACUCAAAGGAAUUGACGGGGGCCCGCACAAGCGGAGGAACAUGUGGUUUAAUUCGAUGAUACGCGAGGAACCUUACCCGGGCUUGAAUUGCAGACGAAUUGCUUGGAAACAGGCAAGCCGCAAGGCGUCUGUGAAGGUGCUGCAUGGUUGUCGUCAGCUCGUGCCGUGAGGUGUCGGCUUAAGUGCCAUAACGAGCGCAACCCUCGUGUCCAGUUACUAGCAGGUUAUGCUGAGGACUCUGGACAGACUGCCAUCGUAAGAUGUGAGGAAGGUGGGGAUGACGUCAAAUCAGCACGGCCCUUACGUCCGGGGCUACACACGUGUUACAAUGGGGGGUACAGCAGGCAGCUACCGGGCGACCGGAUGCCAAUCCCGAAAGCCUCUCUCAGUUCGGACUGGAGUCUGCAACCCGACUCCACGAAGCUGGAUUCGCUAGUAAUCGCGCAUCAGCCACGGCGCGGUGAAUACGUUCCCG
rnacentral:rRNA from 1 species